rnacentral:lncRNA from 1 species
GGGGCCACACAUAUUAGAAGUUUCUUUCCAAUCAGAUGACUAAUUUGAGGAGUCCUACUGGAUGGGGACACUGCUGAAGAGUCCCACUGGAUGGAGACUCUGGUGAAGAGUCUCAUUAGACUGAGACUCUAUCUUUAAUAAAAAAUUAAUUAGUAAUUAGAUCAUUAAUUAGCUCAAUUUGAUUGAGCAUUAAAGUCUGAAUCUAGUCUGAUUG